rnacentral:RNase_P_RNA from 13 species
GGCGGAGGGAAGCUCAUCGGUGGGCUACGAGCUGAGUGCGUGAUGUCACUCUGCAGCACGUCCCUUGGGAAGGUCUGAGACCAGGGCCAGCGGCGGCCCUAACAGGCCCUCCCUGAACCUCAGGGAAGUGAGUUCCCAGAGAGCAGGGCUGUGCGCGAGGGCAGACCGGGCAGGAGAUGCCAGCCCACCCUCUGGAGGGGCUCGGCAGAUGCCUCCUUAGCCGGAGCUUGGAAAAAUGCUUUUUAAGGCAACUAAAUUGUCACACAAGGCUAAGAACUUUUCCAAUUUUCAUCGUC